AUUGAACGCUGGCGGCAGGCCUAACACAUGCAAGUCGAGCGGAUGAAGGGAGCUUGCUCCUGGAUUCAGCGGCGGACGGGUGAGUAAUGCCUAGGAAUCUGCCUGGUAGUGGGGGAUAACGUCCGGAAACGGGCGCUAAUACCGCAUACGUCCUGAGGGAGAAAGUGGGGGAUCUUCGGACCUCACGCUAUCAGAUGAGCCUAGGCCGGAUUAGCUAGUUGGUGGGGUAAAGGCCCACCAAGGCGACGAUCCGUAACUGGUCUGAGAGGAUGAUCAGUCACACUGGAACUGAGACACGGUCCAGACUCCUACGGGAGGCAGCAGUGGGGAAUAUUGGACAAUGGGCGAAAGCCUGAUCCAGCCAUGCCGCGUGUGUGAAGAAGGUCUUCGGAUUGUAAAGCACUUUAAGUUGGGAGGAAGGGCAGUAAGUUAAUACCUUGCUGUUUUGACGUGACCAACAGAAUAAGCACCGGCUAACUUCGU
rnacentral:rRNA from 1 species